ensembl:lncRNA
UACACAUUAAAUAUUAUUUACUAUAUAUUAUUGAUAUUAUUAAUAAUAUUAUUACUAAUAAUUAUUAACCUACAUGGUAACUGGGUGAUGUACAUAUUCUUAAAAUUCCAAUUUUACAGAUAAGAAAACAGAAACUUGGAGGUGACCAAUUACAUCACAACAACUAUAAUCUCAAGAAUUUGUCUAAAUUUAAAGAGAUAUGUGCUUAGGGAUCAGUUGACUGUUAUCCACAACAAAAACAACAGGAGUUCAGGUUAUCUGUACAGAAUUCCUCCAGGGAUGCUCCCCACUUUGUGCCUUCAUUUUUCAAGAAGUGUGAAGCUGACACAAAACUUCUAUGAAAUUUGGCCUUGAAAUCAUAGAGGAAAGAAAAUCAGUGCUUUGUGGACUCAGCGCCCUCUGGUAGGGCGUCGCUCUGAAACUAAUGUGCUUCCUAGCUGACUCCAACCAACCAGAACCAAUGGCACCUCAGUCUUGUGUUGCAUUCAAGAUACAACUUUUCAUUCAUCACUUCAAGUACACCUAGUUAGUUUCUAAGGUUUUGGUUCCCUAGUACAAAGGUUCAGAAACUGGUGUCUAUGGAACACUGGAAGGAUCAAUAAAAGGACAGAAGAGAAUAUCAAGAAAUUGUUAAAUCUGCCUUCCACUCAAAAUUCAUUCACAAAACUUCCGCCUUUAUUUGUGUAUAUCCCAGGUGGCUCUAGUGGUAAAGAACCCACCCACCAAUGCAGGAGACAUAAGAGAUGUGAGUUCCAUCCCUGGGUCGGGAAGAUCCCCUCUAGGAGCAAAUGGCAACCCACUCCAGUACUCUGGCCUGGAGAAUCCCAUGGACAGGGGAGCCUGGUGGGCUACAGACCAUAGGGUUGCACAGUCAGACACAACUGAAGCGACUUAGCAUGCACACACGCAUGUUAAGAUUAAUCUACAUACUAUAUGGAUUAAGGAAACUACUUGCUUAAAAAGUUGAAAAACUAUCCCAAUUUAGAAUUGGAAAGAAGAAAGCAGAAUCAUAGAACGUUAAAGCUAAAAGGGAUUUAAGUGACAGUAUAAUUCACUUUUCUGAUUAUAUGAAUGAGAAAAUUAAGCUGGGGAGAAGUGAAUAGAC